rnacentral:rRNA from 1 species
UACGUAGGGUGCGAGCGUUAAUCGGAAUUACUGGGCGUAAAGCGUGCGCAGGCGGUGAUGUAAGACAGGUGUGAAAUCCCCGGGCUUAACCUGGGAACUGCGCUUGUAACUGGCAAGCUAGAGUGUGGCAGAGGGGGGUGGAAUUCCACGUGUAGCAGUGAAAUGCGUAGAGAUGUGGAGGAACACCGAUGGCGAAGGCAGCCCCCUGGGCUAACACUGACGCUCAUGCACGAAAGCGUGGGGAGCAAACAGG